rnacentral:rRNA from 1 species
UUAAGCGACUAAGCGUACACGGUGGAUGCCCUGGCAGUCAGAGGCGAUGAAGGACGUGCUAAUCUGCGAUAAGCGUCGGUAAGGUGAUAUGAACCGUUAUAACCGGCGAUUUCCGAAUGGGGAAACCCAGUGUGUUUCGACACACUAUCAUUAACUGAAUCCAUAGGUUAAUGAGGCGAACCGGGGGAACUGAAACAUCUAAGUACCCCGAGGAAAAGAAAUCAACCGAGAUUCCCCCAGUAGCGGCGAGCGAACGGGGAGCAGCCCAGAGCCUGAAUCAGUAUGUGUGUUAGUGGAAGCGUCUGGAAAGGCGCGCGAUACAGGGUGACAGCCCCGUACACAAAAAUGCACAUGCUGUGAGCUCGAUGAGUAGGGCGGGACACGUGGUAUCCUGUCUGAAUAUGGGGGGACCAUCCUCCAAGGCUAAAUACUCCUGACUGACCGAUAGUGAACCAGUACCGUGAGGGAAAGGCGAAAAGAACCCCGGCGAGGGGAGUGAAAAAGAACCUGAAACCGUGUACGUACAAGCAGUGGGAGCACGCUUAGGCGUGUGACUGCGUACCUUUUGUAUAAUGGGUCAGCGACUUAUAUUCUGUAGCAAGGUUAACCGAAUAGGGGAGCCGAAGGGAAACCGAGUCUUAACUGGGCGUUAAGUUGCAGGGUAUAGACCCGAAACCCGGUGAUCUAGCCAUGGGCAGGUUGAAGGUUGGGUAACACUAACUGGAGGACCGAACCGACUAAUGUUGAAAAAUUAGCGGAUGACUUGUGGCUGGGGGUGAAAGGCCAAUCAAACCGGGAGAUAGCUGGUUCUCCCCGAAAGCUAUUUAGGUAGCGCCUCGUGAAUUCAUCUCCGGGGGUAGAGCACUGUUUCGGCAAGGGGGUCAUCCCGACUUACCAACCCGAUGCAAACUGCGAAUACCGGAGAAUGUUAUCACGGGAGACACACGGCGGGUGCUAACGUCCGUCGUGAAGAGGGAAACAACCCAGACCGCCAGCUAAGGUCCCAAAGUCAUGGUUAAGUGGGAAACGAUGUGGGAAGGCCCAGACAGCCAGGAUGUUGGCUUAGAAGCAGCCAUCAUUUAAAGAAAGCGUAAUAGCUCACUGGUCGAGUCGGCCUGCGCGGAAGAUGUAACGGGGCUAAACCAUGCACCGAAGCUGCGGCAGCGACGCUGAUGCGUUGUUGGGUAGGGGAGCGUUCUGUAAGCCUGCGAAGGUGUGCUGUGAGGCAUGCUGGAGGUAUCAGAAGUGCGAAUGCUGACAUAAGUAACGAUAAAGCGGGUGAAAAGCCCGCUCGCCGGAAGACCAAGGGUUCCUGUCCAACGUUAAUCGGGGCAGGGUGAGUCGACCCCUAAGGCGAGGCCGAAAGGCGUAGUCGAUGGGAAACAGGUUAAUAUUCCUGUACUUGGUGUUACUGCGAAGGGGGGACGGAGAAGGCUAUGUUGGCCGGGCGACGGUUGUCCCGGUUUAAGCGUGUAGGCUGGUUUUCCAGGCAAAUCCGGAAAAUCAAGGCUGAGGCGUGAUGACGAGGCACUACGGUGCUGAAGCAACAAAUGCCCUGCUUCCAGGAAAAGCCUCUAAGCAUCAGGUAACAUCAAAUCGUACCCCAAACCGACACAGGUGGUCAGGUAGAGAAUACCAAGGCGCUUGAGAGAACUCGGGUGAAGGAACUAGGCAAAAUGGUGCCGUAACUUCGGGAGAAGGCACGCUGAUAUGUAGGUGAAGUCCCUCGCGGAUGGAGCUGAAAUCAGUCGAAGAUACCAGCUGGCUGCAACUGUUUAUUAAAAACACAGCACUGUGCAAACACGAAAGUGGACGUAUACGGUGUGACGCCUGCCCGGUGCCGGAAGGUUAAUUGAUGGGGUUAGCCGCAAGGCGAAGCUCUUGAUCGAAGCCCCGGUAAACGGCGGCCGUAACUAUAACGGUCCUAAGGUAGCGAAAUUCCUUGUCGGGUAAGUUCCGACCUGCACGAAUGGCGUAAUGAUGGCCAGGCUGUCUCCACCCGAGACUCAGUGAAAUUGAACUCGCUGUGAAGAUGCAGUGUACCCGCGGCAAGACGGAAAGACCCCGUGAACCUUUACUAUAGCUUGACACUGAACAUUGAGCCUUGAUGUGUAGGAUAGGUGGGAGGCUUAGAAGUGUGGACGCCAGUCUGCAUGGAGCCGACCUUGAAAUACCACCCUUUAAUGUUUGAUGUUCUAACGUUGACCCGUAAUCCGGGUUGCGGACAGUGUCUGGUGGGUAGUUUGACUGGGGCGGUCUCCUCCUAAAGAGUAACGGAGGAGCACGAAGGUUGGCUAAUCCUGGUCGGACAUCAGGAGGUUAGUGCAAUGGCAUAAGCCAGCUUGACUGCGAGCGUGACGGCGCGAGCAGGUGCGAAAGCAGGUCAUAGUGAUCCGGUGGUUCUGAAUGGAAGGGCCAUCGCUCAACGGAUAAAAGGUACUCCGGGGAUAACAGGCUGAUACCGCCCAAGAGUUCAUAUCGACGGCGGUGUUUGGCACCUCGAUGUCGGCUCAUCACAUCCUGGGGCUGAAGUAGGUCCCAAGGGUAUGGCUGUUCGCCAUUUAAAGUGGUACGCGAGCUGGGUUUAGAACGUCGUGAGACAGUUCGGUCCCUAUCUGCCGUGGGCGCUGGAGAACUGAGGGGGGCUGCUCCUAGUACGAGAGGACCGGAGUGGACGCAUCACUGGUGUUCGGGUUGUCAUGCCAAUGGCACUGCCCGGUAGCUAAAUGCGGAAGAGAUAAGUGCUGAAAGCAUCUAAGCACGAAACUUGCCCCGAGAUGAGUUCUCCCUGACCCUUUAAGGGUCCUGAAGGAACGUUGAAGACGACGACGUUGAUAGGCCGGGUGUGUAAGCGCAGCGAUGCGUUGAGCU